CGUAAUGAGAAUGUGUGCAUUGAAUGGAUUCAGUCGUGUUCAAAUGAUCACUAAACGUUUGUCAUGACAUCUCUCUGCUUGCAUGAUAAAUAUUAUUUUAGAAAUUAAUAAUUAUUUCAGUUUAACACGACAUACUUGUUCAGUGAUAACUACGAAAAAAUAUAUAAAAAGUCAUAACAGUCUUAUCAAGUAACUGUACGAUGUUGUAUCCGAAUGCAGAUAGGAAAAAUUUUGUGAUUGUUACAGAUACAAAUACUGGCUGUUACAUGAAAAUGUAAAUAUGUAAUGUCAUAUAUAAAGUUUUUAAAAUUUACAUAUGUAAUUGUUGCAUAAGGCUAUACAUUAAUACGCGUUUAUUGAUUAAAAAAAAGGCUAUCUAGGUGUAGACGUAAAUAAAACACAAUCUAACAGGUAGAAAAUUAAAUUAGAAACAUCUAAACUUUUCAGGUCGCAGUAAGUGCACCGCUGGUCAUGCACAUCCUUUCCCGGAACAAUACUGAAAGCUAAGGCAAGAUGGAGAAACAGAUGAUCAUAGUUGUACAAGGAUAGCCAUUUUUUAAAUGAAUCUAUUAGCAGAGCUACUGCAAGUGAUUUCCAUUUAUUCUUUGCUGAAACUUCUGCGUCAUCAUGGAGAGCGGGUCAUGGUUGCCCAGCAACAGCAGACGCCACUGGAGCGCAAGCGCAGGCUACAGAGUGCUUUGGAAAUAAGGAGCGCGGCGCGCCUAGCGUUUUCCACACGUUUUCAGUCGCGACAUCAUGCAAAUGUGGUUUUGUUUUGAAGGAUACAUUUUUUAUUUAAUUUUUUUGCUGGACUCGGUCGAGACCAACUAGAAGACUUGGCGAGUCCAAUGGCCAAGUCCGAGACAAGUCCGAGUGCAAAUUCAACGAGUCCGAGACAAGUCCGAGACGACAGAAAAAUGUCUCGAGUCUGGACUCGAGUCCAAGACCGGACUCGAGUACUACAGCCCUAGUUUACUGAAUCAGCUAUCCGCAAUGCAGGGUAUUGGAUUGUUGGUGUUAAGAAGCUUAUCAACAGCAUUGUACACAAGUGCAUCGUAUGCAACAAGCUUCGUGGGAAGGUAACUGAGCAGAAGAUGGCGGACUUGCCCAUCGAUCGCCUGAGCACUGAACCUCCCUUCACGAACGUCGGUCUUGAUGUUUUUGGACCUUGGACAGUUGUUGCAAGGCGCACGCGAGGAGGACAAGCUCACAGCAAAAGAUGGGCUGUUCUUUUCACUUGUAUGAGUAUUCGUGCCAUACAUAUUGAGCUGAUUGACAGUAUGGAUUCAUCCACCUUUAUAAACGCCUUGAGAAGGUUUUUUGCUCUACGAGGUCCUGUCAAACAAAUUCGGUCUGAUUGUGGGACCAAUUUUGUAGGAGCCUGUAAAGAGCUGGAAAUUGUGGUAAAUGAUCCUCAAGAGCCUAGUGUGAGGAAGUACCUGAGUGGAGAGGGUUGUUCAUGGGUCUUCAAUCCACCUCACGCAUCCCACAUGGGAGGAGCCUGGGAGCGGAUGAUAGGAGUCUCCAGGCGCAUACUAGAUUCCAUGCUCCAACAGAUCAGUCCUUCCCGCUUGACACAUGAUGUGUAGUCCACCUUGAUGGCAGAGGUUACAGGAAUCGUCAAUUCAAGACCCCUUGUUCCUAUUUCAACAGACCCAGAUUCACCUUUCUUGUUAACGCCAGCCAUGCUCCUAACUCAAAAGGGUCAUACACUCCUCCCACCUCCAGGUGACUUCAAGGAAACCAAUCUCCAUAGACAGCAAUGGAGAAGGGUGCAACAUCUUGCUAAUACUUUCUGGAAUAGAUGGAGGCGUGAAUACCUCUCAACGCUUCAAAGCCGAAGCAAAUGGCAAGAGGAACAACGAAAUCUAAGAGAGGGUGAUGUUGUCCUUCUUAAGGAUGCUCAAAGUAAGCGCAAUGAAUGGCCUAUGGCUCUUGUGACCAAGACUUUUCCCAGCAGUGACAAAAGAGUCAGAACGGUUGAACUAAGAGUUGCAAGGAAUGGGACAAUCAAGACAUUCCUCAGACCUAUAUCGGAAACCGUUCUGCUCAUGCCGACGGAGGACUGAUAUUUGUGAGGUCUUAUGUGAACAUUCUCAGGUUAUAUGGUGGUAUCUAAACAAUACCAGGCGGGGAGUGUCAUGACAUACAUUUGUUUUUUAUUUACUAGCACCAUCUUGUGGCAGUUUGAUGUUAUAACAAAGAAAUUGAUUAUUGUAAACCAUUUUCUUAGUGGUUGGUUUAGGUCAUGUGACUCUUGGGUUAGAGGUUAACCAGGAAAUAGCCACUGUGUUCCAGUUUCUUUCUGUGUGGUGGGCCAACAAGUCAUCUCUCUGUUUUCUUCACGUUUUUGUGCCUCAGAAAGGCUUUGCCUUUUUACAAAAAAGAGAAAGAAGAGGAAAGAACAAAACAGUAAAACUUUCAACUUUA